rnacentral:rRNA from 1 species
UACGGAGGGUGCAAGCGUUAUCCGGAAUCACUGGGUUUAAAGGGUGCGUAGGCGGCUGUAUAAGUCAGCGGUGAAAGCCCGGAGCUUAACUUCGGAACUGCCUUUGAUACUGUAUAGCUUGAAAUAGGUUGAGGUCAGCGGAAUGUGGCAUGUAGCGGUGAAAUGCAUAGAUAUGCGAUAGAACACCAGUUGCGAAGGCAGUUGGCUGGACCUUAUUUGACGCUGAGGCACGAAAGCGUGGGGAGCGAACAGG